rfam:Aedes aegypti strain Liverpool supercont1.699 genomic scaffold, whole genome shotgun sequence.
ACCGUUGGAGCCGUGAGCCGUGCCUUUUGGAGAUGGCAACAGAAAUACUGGAAACCCAAGCGGCUGGGAAUUGCCGGCGGAAUGGUGUUUUUCUAUGCCAUCAACUGCGGCAAACGGAAGCACCACAGGAACUACAA